ACCGCGCCUGGCCUUUUUUUUCUUUUUCACAUAAUUCAAGAGUAAGCAGUCUAGGGUUGGUGUGGUGGCUCUGGGACGUCAGCGACUCAGGUUUCUCCUAUCUUUUUGCUCCACCAAGCCCAGGGUCAUGCCUUUGCUCACAUUGUCCAAGAUGGCUUAACACUACUGUAACUGUACUUCCAGGCAGUGGGAAGGAGAAAACGAGUUAAAAGUAUGACCUGGAUGUACUGUAGGACUAGAACCCUGGUCUUUAGCUAAACUCAUGCUAGACCCACAAUAAAGAUUACAUUUCCAGUCUCCCGUACAGAUAAGUGGCCAAUCAGAGGUGAGCCAAAUACACAUGAGCAACUUCUAGAUCCAUUCUACAAACAUCUUUUGAAUAUCACUAUGUCCUUCCAUACUGAGUCACAGAGAACAGUGCUGUGAAAGCCAAAGGAAAGGAGAGCGCUUGCUUCAGCAGCACAUUUACUAAAAUUGGAACCAUACAGGAAGAUUAGCAUGUCCCCUGUGCAAGGAUGAUGUGCAAAUUCGUGAAAUGUUCCAUAUUUUUUUAAAAAGUCCAGGCACAGUGGCUCAUGCCUGUGCUCCCAGCACUUUGGGAGGCUGAGGUUCAAGACCAGCCUGGGCAACAUAGCAAGACCUCAUCUCUAUAAAAAAAUUUUUUUAAUAACGAGAGGCUUCUGAAAGGGGUUUCACAGUGUUACAGACAGAUCAAGGAGGAGGAGAACUGAAGACACGAGGGCAGUGCUUCUCAACCAGGGCCUAUUUUGCCACUUCCAGGGGACAUCUGGCCAUGUCUGGAGACAUUUUUGGUUUGUGAUGACUGUGAAAGGAAAUGUGUGUGCUUCUAUCAUCUAGAAAUUAGAGGACACAGGUGCUGCUAAACACUCUGCAAUGCAUAGGAAAACCCCCAACAACAAAGAAUAAUCCUGGCCCAAAAUAGCAAUUGUGCUGAGGUUGAAAAACCCUGCACUAGGAGAUUAGGACAGGCUGGGCCUGAUGGCUCACGCCUGUAAUCCCAGUAUUUUGGGAGGCUGAGGCCGGCAGAUCACUUCAGGUCCGGAGAUCGAGACCAGCCUGGCCAACAUGGUGAAAACCCGUCUCUACUAAAAACACAAAAAUUAGCCGGGCGUGGUGGCAUGUACCUGUAAUCCCAGCUACUAGGGAGGCUGAGGCAGGAGAAUCACUUGAACUCGUGAGGCA
rnacentral:lncRNA from 10 species